CUUCCUCUCUCGUUGCGCCUUUUCAACCCAACUCUUUAAACAACCGAAGCCACCCAAUUUCACUACGUCCAAUCCUACCCAAUGACAUGGCCAUGUAAUAUUUAAACACCUGUCAUUUAAGGCUCUUCCCAUACAGGCCCUUGUUAUCUUGUAAACUAAACACCCAACUUUCAUCUUGAACCCAUAACCAAACACCCAUCUUCUUCCUUUCUUCUUUUCCAGGCCCGGCGCCCCAACCGCUUUCCGUCAAUCUCAUUCCCGCACCUCCUCCCCCAACCUCCCCUCCGUCCAUCCCAACCACAUCGCCUUCCCCGUCGAUCCACUCCCACCCCCUUCUCCAUCGUCCCUACCCCAAUCUCUUCUCCAACUCUCCUCCGUCAAUCCCAUUCCUAAACCACAAACAUGGAGAAAAGAAGACCCAUCCCCACCGACCUUGUCGCUUUCACCUGUGUCUGGAAUUAUACGUUAUUGCUUGUGAAGGAAAAAUCUAUCAGUACGUAGUACAGAGAUCUAAGGCUAUAAAGGGUGGUAAGAGGAGGAUGAUGCAUAUGGGCAGCAAAGCGGAAGGUCCGAAACUUGGCCUCUGGGGGCAAGGACAUGAAAGUGGUCUGUAGGAAUGGGUCUACAUCGUUGAAGUGGGCCACGUCGGAGUCAGUAUACUUGUGGAAGAACAGACAUGCUCUUGAGAAAGGGAGUGAGUCUAAGGAGUAACGACGAGAUACUCGUGUUAGGGUCCCCAAAGCCUAGUGCAUGCUAAAUUAUUGGUAUGUCCAGCCCAACCUUUUUUUUAAUAAGGGAAAUGAUAGAGACAAUUUAUAAACUAAAUUUGUAAACUAAAUGAUAUGAAAAUUAAUAAACGUGUUUAUCUUUUAUUAGUA